GAUGAAGAACGUAGCGAAAUGCGAUAAGUAGUGUGAAUUGCAGAAUUCAGUGAAUCAUCGAAUCUUUGAACGCACAUUGCGCCCCUUGGUAUUCCAUGGGGCAUGCCUGUUCGAGCGUCAUUUGUACCUUCAAGCUUUGCUUGGUGUUGGGUGUUUGUCUCGCCUCUGCGUGUAGACUCGCCUCAAAACAAUUGGCAGCCGGCGUAUUGAUUUCGGAGCGCAGUACAUCUCGCGCUUUGCACUCAUAACGACGACGUCCAAAAGUACAUUUUUACACUCUUGACCUCGGAUCAGGUAGGGAUACCCGCUGAACUUAAGCAUAUCAAAUAAGCGGAGGA
rnacentral:misc_RNA from 1 species